GACGAACGCUGGCGGCGUGCUUAACACAUGCAAGUCGAACGGAAAGGCCCUGCUUUUGUGGGGUGCUCGAGUGGCGAACGGGUGAGUAACACGUGAGUAACCUGCCCUUGACUUUGGGAUAACUUCAGGAAACUGGGGCUAAUACCGGAUAGGAGCUCCUGCUGCAUGGUGGGGGUUGGAAAGUUUCGGCGGUUGGGGAUGGACUCGCGGCUUAUCAGCUUGUUGGUGGGGUAGUGGCUUACCAAGGCUUUGACGGGUAGCCGGCCUGAGAGGGUGACCGGCCACAUUGGGACUGAGAUACGGCCCAGACUCCUACGGGAGGCAGCAGUGGGGAAUAGUGCACAAUGGGCGGAAGCCUGAUGCAGCAACGCCGCGUGCGGGAUGACGGCCUUCGGGUUGUAAACCGCUUUCGCCUGUGACGAAGCGUGAGUGACGGUAAUGGGUAAAGAAGCACCGGCUAACUACGUG
rnacentral:rRNA from 1 species